AAUAGCAACAGCUUCCUGAUUUUGCUUUUAAAUGGGAAUUCAUUGUUCUUGGCUUGUCAAAAGAAUUCAUGAAUCUGUGAAACCAAUACUUUUUCCAGGGAUUGAAGCAGCUACCGCGAGAGAAGGUGCAGUUAGCCACAAAAUUUGGUUUUGCGAAAAUGGAAGCUACUGGUGUCACCGUAAACGGUACUCCUGAAUAUGUCCGUGCCUCUGUUGAGGCUAGCCUUAAGCGCCUUGAUGUGGAAUACAUUGAUCUCUACUAUCAGCACAGGGUCGACACCACCACUCCAAUAGAGGAUACCGUAAGUGCUGGAGCAGAAACCGUCAAAGAUUUAUUACUUCCAUAGAUUUUCCUUAUUUCCAUACUCUCCUUAAUUGUGCGGCUAUGAUCUUUAGCUGGUUGAACUUAUAGUUAAGCUAUCUGCAUUUCACUUUCUUUCUUAGAUGGGUGAACUUAAGAAGUUGGUGGAGGAAGGGAAAAUAAAGUACAUUGGUUUAUCUGAAGCUAGCCCUGAAACUAUAACGAGAGCACACGCGGUUCAUCCCAUAACUGCUGUACAAAUGGAGUGGUCCCUCUGGACUCGUGACAUUGAGGAAGAAAUAGUCCCCCUUUGCAGGUUUCUUCUUGUAUCUUGAAUCAUUAGAACUAAAAAAACAGUAAAGUGUACUGGAAAUUCGAAGUUUGAACUUUAAACUUGAUAGUCGUUUUCAUUUCCUAAGUUACAUGUUGUUUGAGUACUGGACUUGAGACUCAAUAAACUGAGGCUAUCAACAAUUACUCUUUGUACUGCUGCAAGCCAAAGCAUGAGAAAUGCCUAUCUAAACAUGUUCACCUAUGCAGGCAACUUGGAAUUGGGAUUGUUCCAUAUAGCCCUCUUGGUCGGGGUUUCUUUGGUGGCAGAGCAGUUGAGGAAAGUGUGCCUGCAAAUAGUUUUCUGGUAUGGAAACUCAUCUAUUUAUGGCUCUAGCUACCCUUAAUCUUGUACAAUGACAAGCCUUUCUAACCGGUAGCUUGGUUGACCGAUUGCCAACUUCUACUCUUAAGAGAUUUUUCCCAAGGUUUCAAGGAGAAAACUUUGACAGAAACAAGAUCUUAUAUCUGAAAGUAAAGAAGAUGGCUGAGAAGCAUGGAUGUACCACUGCACAACUUGCACUUGCCUGGGUUCUUCAUCAAGGAGAUGAUGUAGUACCUAUUCCUGGUAAGUCCACAUUCUGUAAUUUUCAACAUCCACUUUCCCCUUCUUGAUAGCCCGCAGAUAUUUCAACCAACAAGGCCCUUUCUUUCUCAUUUUGUAGGAACAACAAAGACAAAAAAUCUUGAUGGCAACAUUGAUUCACUGAGGGUGAAGCUCACAGAAGAAGAUUUACAAGAGAUUUGUGAUGUGAUCCCCAUUAAUGAGGUAGGAGGCGCUCGUAUGCCGGAUGGUUUAAGUCAUCUGACGUGGAAGUUUGCUAACACACCACCAAAGGAUAGCAAGAUUUCAACUUAAAUUAAACUGAACGAUGGAUGCAAAAUCUGCAGCAGAAUAUGAUGUUUUUGGUGAAUGGACUCUCUCCAUCAACGGAAACUAUUGAAAGACUAGAAGUUUGUGUUGAUGAGUUAGUAAGCUUUGGAUACAAUAAUAAAGGGUUGUAGUUGGCAUUGUAGCUUUGCCGUUGAAUGCUUAUCAGAGAAAGAAUGCAUUUACUUGUAUUGUUUUUCUGUCUGUGCAUUGUUGGUGGUAAUCCCCAAUGCUUAUAAUUGUCAACGGCAAAGGUUAAGAUGCUGUAUAAGAACUAUGUUUUUAUUUAGUGCUCUAAUAAUAUAAUUCAUCUUGGUCUCAUCUUUUUUCUCAUUUUAACUUAGAUAUCUAUAUAUUUUCGUAAGUGAUUUCUGUAAUAAAUUAAACCCAAAACAUAAACAGGAAAGAUAAAUGUAAAUAAAAAAGGUAAAUUCAAAAAAUAUAUAUACAAUAAAAACAAAAAACAAUUAAAUUUUAUUGACAUGAUUUUUUUUGUAUAUACAACACAAUUGAGAUAAAAUGAACACAACUUUUAUUAUAUAUACGUGACCAAAAAAUCAUGUCAUGACUCAACUUCUCUUAUAUAUAUGGCUCAAUCUAGACUUGUGAUCAACAAAGGACCACAUUAGUAUUUUUAAUAUCUUAGCAUGAUGAUGCAUGUCAUCACAUAAUGAACUUCAUAUCAACAAAUUAUGAUACAUCAAUUUGAUCAAAAUCUCACGUCAAUAUUCUUAACGAUAAAAUUUAAUAGUGUUAAUAUUAAAAAUUUUAAAUUAAUAAAUUAAAAAAGUAUAAUAACUUAAUUUACAUGAAUUAUUAUUCAAGAUUAAAUCCAUAUUGUAUAAUUUUGCAUCUUAGAUUCUUUUUGUUGAAAUGCCAAGUGACAAGCUCCUAUUGAACAAUAACCUUCUACUUCUUGAAACAAAGACGUGAGAAAUGCGUAAUUAAAUGUGUUCCCCAAUGUAGGGAACUUAGGAUUGGGAUAGUUCCAUAUAGCCCUCUUGGUCGCGGUUUCUUUGGUGGCAGGGCGGUUGUGGAGAGUGUGCCUGCAAAUAGUUUUCUGGUAUGGAAACUCAUCAAUUUAUGGCUUUAAUCUACACUCAAUCUUGAUAGCUUGUUUUUCCAUAAAAAAUAAGGGCACCUUUUUGACUGAUUGGCAACUUCUUCUUUAAGAGUAGACAUAUUACCCAAGGUUUCAAGGAGAAAACUUGGACAGAAACAAGAACUUAUAUUUGCAAAUGGAGAAGUUGGCACAAUAUCAUGGAUGUACCCCUGCACAACUAAUUCUUGGCUGGGUUCUUCAUCAAGGGAAUGAUGUAGCACCUAUUCCCGGUUAGUCACAUUCUGUAUGUAUGCUCUUAGAUAGCAGACAAUACAGAUAUUUCAACUACAUCACAUUAGAAUUGACAUAAUUUACAAGUACAUAUCAUAAAUUUGCCUUGUUUGUUAUGUGCAUUAGAAAUAUGACUUUUGACCCUCGGUUACAUGUUCUUGUAGGUACGACCAAGAUCAAAAAUCUUGAUAGCAACAUUGAUUCUCUAACAGUGAAGCUCACAGAAGAAGAUUUAAAGGAGAUCACUGAUGUGGUUCCCAUAAACGAGGUAGCAGGGCCUGGAACGCUGGAUAGUUUUUUUCAGGUCUCAUGGAAAUUCGCUAAUACACCCCCAAAGGAGAAACAAGAUUUUAAGUUAAAGUAAUUAUGGAUGCAAAGCCUGUAGCAAAACAUGAUGCUUUUGGUUAAUGUACUCUCCUGCAACCGAGGCUAUAGAAAGCCUACAAGUUUGUACUGAUUUACUAAGCUUACCUUUAAAAAGGGUUCACUUAUAACCAGGCUACUAGCUGUGCUGUCGAAUGCAUGUGCUUGCUUGGUUUUUCUGUCGUUUCUUAGUUGCCGGCAAUUUUCCAAUGGUUAUUGUAGUUGUUACAACACUGUCUAAGAAGCUAUUUUAAUAAAUAUGCUUUUAUUUAGUGCUAUGAUUUAUUCUUCUUGAUAUUCUUUUUCCUCUCUAUGUAACCUGCUGCAACCAUAAUAACAGAAACCAUUGCAUCUACCGGAAGAAGAAUUUGGCAAAAAAAAAAUAUUUUUUUCAUUGUGACUUCCAUGGUCUGAAGGAAAUAGUAGGAAAUAUAGCAGCUCAUCUUGGCAAUGCAGGGUUAUUUUUUUUAUCUGAUAACAUGACUAUUCUGCAUUUUUGACUAAUUCUUUGCCUUUUGAAAGUAACAGUUCUUGGAACAUAAUUUUCACUGUUUCAACAAAGUAUUCCAAAAGAAUGACAUGUGGGGUGACAUGUUUACUGGCGUCACCAAGUUGAUAGACAAUUCAACUCAAAAUCAAGAUUCUGGAUAUAAGGCUGCUACUAUUUAUGCACAACAAGGACACUUGGCCGUCUAGUAGAUCGUUUAUUAGUUACUGGUUUUUGAGCUGUAAGCUAACAAGAGAAGCCUCAGCUCAAUAACACAACAUAAAAAGGGAACAGAAGAUGGUUGAGGAGCAGAAGAGAAUUCAAAUUCCUAGAAUGAAACUGGGAAAUCAAGGACUUGAGGUUAGAUUUUGUUCUUCUUAAGAGUAGUCAAGAGAAGGGUUGUUAUGAGUUGCAUAUAGAAUGUUUAUGAGGUGAUAAGCCCUGAAUUUUUAUUAAUCUUUACAACCGUUCCUCAGUUUUUGGUUGAACUGCUGAUAUGCAGUAUGUAAGGUACUGGAUAUUCUGAUUCUACUCUCCUAAAAACAUGCUAGGACUCAACUUUUUAAACUCAAUCAGAAUUUAACUUUCCAUCAAGUUCACACGAUUUCUUUCCCAGAACACUAUUUUCUAACACUCUCGUUUCUGAGAAUCCACUGUUUAUGUAGGUUUCCAAGUUGGGGUUUGGCUGCGCGGAACUUUCUGUUGUAGCCUACGGUGAUCCUCUCCCUGAUGAUGUUGGCAUAUCGAUCAUCAAGCAUGCUUUUGAUAGAGGAAUCACUUUCUUCGAUACAUCAGAUAGCUAUGGACCCAAAACUAAUGAAAUACUGGUUGGAAAGGUAACAUGCUUGGUCAAAUUGUCUAAAGUACUUUCAAGUUGAAUUGCAACAGCUUCCUGAUUUUGCUUUUAAAUGGGAAUCCAAACCCUUAAAUAAAUGCAUUUUUGUUUUAUCACAUUGAUAUGAUUCUAAUUGUUACUGCUCUUGAGUUGUUAACGAAAUUCAUGAAUCUCUGAAGCCAAUAUUUCUUUUCUCCAGGCAUUGAAGCAGCUACCGCGAGAGAAGGUGCAGUUAGCCACAAAAUUUGGUAUUGCAAAAAGGGAUGCUACUGGUGUCAUUGUAAAUGGUACUCCUGAAUAUGUCCGCACCUCUGUUGAGGCUAGCCUGAAGCGCCUUGAUGUGGAAUACAUUGAUCUCUACUAUCAGCACAGGGUCGACACCACCACUCCUAUAGAGGAUACUGUAAGAGCUGGAGCAGAAAGCAUCAAAGAUUUAUUUCUUCCAUAGAUUUCCUUAUUUCCAUACUCUCUUAUUAAUUGCGGGGCUAUCAUCUUUAGCUGGUUGAACUUAAGGUUAAGCUAUUUGGAUUUAACUUUCUUUCUUAGAUGGGUGAACUCAAGAAGUUGGUGGAAGAAGGGAAAAUAAAGUACAUUGGUUUAUCUGAAGCUAGCCCCGAAACUAUAAAGAGAGCACAUGCGGCUCAUCCCAUAACUGCUGUACAAAUGGAGUGGUCGCUCUGGACUCGUGACAUUGAGGAAGAAAUAGUCCCCCUUUGCAGGUUUCUUCUUGUAUCUUGAAGCAUUAGAACUAAAAAAACAGUAAAAGUUACUUGAAAUUCAAAGUUCGAACUCUUAACUUGAUAGUCAUUUUCAUUUCCCAAAUUAUACGUUGUUUGAGUACUGGUCUUGAGACUCACCUAUGCAAUCCAAGGCAUGAGAUAUGCCUAUUUAAAUGUCUUCAUUUAUGCAGGCAACUCGGAAUUGGGAUUGUUCCAUACAGCCCUCUUGGUCGUGGUUUCUUUGGUGGCAAAGCAGUUGAUGAAAGUGUGCCUGCAGAUAGUUUUCUGGUAUGGGAACACAUCUAUUAAUGGCUUUAACCUAUCUUUAAUCUUGUAUAAAGACAAGCCUUUCUAACCGGUAGCUUGGUUGACCGAUUGCCAACUUCUACUUUUAAGAGAUUGUUCCCAAGGUUUCAAGGAGAAAACUUUGACAGAAACAAGAUCUUAUAUCUGAAAGUAAAGAAGAUGGCUGAGAAGCAUGGAUGUACCACUGCACAACUUGCACUUGCCUGGGUUCUUCAUCAAGGAAAUGAUGUAGUACCUAUUCCUGGUAAGUCCACAUUCUGUAAUUUUCAACAUCCACUUUCCCCUUCUUGAUAGCCCGCAGAUAUUUCAACCAACAAGGCCCUUUCUUUCUCAUUUUGUAGGAACAACAAAGACAAAAAAUCUUGAUGGCAACAUUGAUUCACUGAGGGUGAAGCUCACAGAAGAAGAUUUACAAGAGAUUUGUGAUGUGAUCCCCAUUAAUGAGGUAGCAGGCGCUCGUAUGCCGGAUGGUUUAAGUCAUCUGACGUGGAAGUUUGCUAACACACCACCAAAGGAUAGCAAGAUUUCAACUUAAAUUAAACUGAACGAUGGAUGCAAAGUCUGCAGCAGAAUAUGAUGUUUUUGGUGAAUGGACUCUCUCCAUCAACGGAAACUAUUGAAAGACUAGAAGUUUGUGUUGAAAAGUUAGUAAGCUUUGGAUACAAUAAUGAAGGGCUGUAGUUGGCAUUGUAGCUUUGCCGUUGAAUGCUUAUCAGAGAAAGAAUGCAUUUACUUGUAUUGUUUUUCUGUCUGUGCUUUGUUGGUAAUAAUCCCCAAUGCUUAUGGUUGUCAACAGCAAAGGUUAAGAUGCUGUAUAAGAACUAUGUUUUUAUUUAGUGCUCUAAUAAUAUAAUUCAUCUUGGUCUCAUCUUUUUUCUCAUUUUAACUUAGAUAUCUAUACAUUUUCGUAAGUGAUUUCUGUAAUAAAUUAAACCUAAAGCAUAAACACAAAAGAUAAAUUAACAAAAUAUAUAUACAUUAAAAAGAGAAAACAACUAAAUUUUAUUGAUGUGAUUUUUUUAGUAUAUACAACACAAUUGAGAUGAAAUAAGUACGACUUUUAUUAUAUACACGUGAUCAAAAAAUCAUGCCAUGACUCAACUUCUCUUAUAUAUAUGGCUCAACCGAAACUCGUGAUCAACAAAUGACCUCGUUAGUAUUUUUAGUAUCUUAGCAUGAUGAAGCAUAUUAGUCACGUAACGAACGUCGUAUAAGCAAUAUAUGAUACAUCAACUUGAUCAAAAUCUCACGUCAAUAUUCUUAACAAUGAAAUUUAAUGGUGUUAAUAUUAAAAAUUUAAGUUAAUAAAUUGGAAAAGUACAAUAACUUAAUUUACAUGAAUUAUUAUUCAAAAUUAAAUCCAUAUUGCAUAAUUUUACAUUUUAGAUUCACCUUUUGUUGAAAUGCCAAGUGACAAGCUCCUAUUGAACAAUAACCUUCUGCCCUUCAGUUAAAAGUUGUUUACCUCUUUCCUUCCCGUCAAUCUCAAGUUUCCAAACCUUUUCCAACUUCCAACACAUUCAUCUUUAGCUGGUUGAACUUAAAGUUAAGCUAUUUGGAUUUAACUUUCUUUCUUAGAUGGGUGAACUCAAGAAGUUGGUGGAAGAAGGGAAAAUAAAGUACAUUGGUUUAUCUGAAGCUAGCCCUGAAACUAUAAAGAGAGCACAUGCGGUUCAUCCCAUAACUGCAGUACAAAUGGAAUGGUCGCUUUGGACUCGUGAAAUUGAGGAAGAAAUAGUCCCCCUUUGCAGGUUUCUGCUUGUAUCUUGAAUCAUUAGAAGUUAGAAAAAGUAAAGGUUACUUGAAAUUCGAAGUUCAAACUCUAAACUAGAUAGUCAUUUUCAUUUCCCAAGUUACAUGUUGUUUGAGUACUGGACUUGAGACUCAAUAAACUGAGGCUAUCAGCAAUUACUCCUUGUACUGCUGCAAGCCAAAGCAUGAGAAAUGCCUAUUUAAAUGUGGUCACCUAUGCAGGCAACUGGGAAUUGGGAUUGUUCCAUACAGCCCUCUUGGUCAUGGUUUCUUUGGUGGCAGAGCAGUUGAGGAAAGUGUGCCCGCAAAUAGUGUUCUGGUACGGGAACUCAUCUAUUUUUGGCUUUAACCUAUCCUUAAUCUUGUCUAAUGACAAGCCUUCAAACUGUUAGCUUGGUUGACCGAUUGCCAACUUCUACAGGGAAUUCUCCCAAGGUUUCAAAGCGAAAACUUGGAAAGAAACAAGAUCUUAUAUCUGAAAGUAAAGAAGUUGGCUGAGAAGCAUGGAUGUACCCCUGCACAACUUGCACUUGCCUGGGUUCUUCAUCAAGGAGAUGAUGUAGUACCUAUUCCUGGUAAGUCCACGUUCUGCAAUUGUCAACAUCCACUAUUAUCUUCUUGAUAGCCUGCAGAUAUUUCAACAAAAAAGACCCUUUUUCACAUUUUGUAGGAACAACCAAGAUCAAAAAUCUUGAUAGCAACAUUGAUUCACUCAGGUUGAAGCUCACUGAAGAAGAUUUAAAAGAGAUUAGUGAUGUGAUCCCCAUAAAUGAGGUAGCAGGGUGUAGAACGCUGGAUAGUUUUUUUCAGGUCAGUUGGAAAUUCGCCAAUACACCGCCAAAGGAGAACAAGAAUUCAUAAUCUGACACUAGCAGCAUGUGAAGAACAAGUGAAGAGCUUCAGCUUAGAAUGCAAAACGAUGGCGUUUCUUCAUCAGAAGUUCUAAGUUUUCAAAGUGUGCCGUUUUACUUCUUUUAUGUUUUAAGUUUGUAGUACUUAAAAUGAUGUUGCUCAUGUCGUUUUUAGCUUGGCUUAGUUAAGUCCUAUACGCUUCAUUAUAGUGUCGUUUUUGAGUCUGUUUUAAGGCUUAACAGCCAUGGCUUUCUGUUUCAAUUUUUUACUGUUGGUGGUCAUUGGUUUGUGUGUAGUUUGUUGCUGUGAUCCGAUUUGUCAGGAAAUGUUUUUGAAUUGUUAGAGUAUAUAUACAGGAAAUGAAAUGAAAUGAAGAGCUUCUUCCAGUAAGAAAUUUUCUGUUCAUAUUCACUGAAAUUCAGACUUCUCUGUUUUUAAGCUUUGUUAUUUUCGUUGCUUAGCUUUGCAGCUUAGCUUUCAAUUUUCUUCAAAGAUUUUAAGUUGAAGUAAUUAUGGAUGCAAAGAGUGCAGCAAAACAUGUGUCGAUGUAAGGCUUGCUUUGAAGACCAAGCAAAGACAGAGACAUUGAGGGCAGUCAAACUUUUGAUUUCUGUGUUGACAGAUUACUUUUUUUUCUUUCAGCAAUUGACAGGUUACUUGUAUUAGUGUAUCUGUCAGUAAGGCAUGGUUAGGCAUGAGAUUGGUUGGUCUUUUGUGUAUUUCAGUGUACAAGCUUGACUAGGAAGCCAUUUGUUUUCAUUUAUAAUAAUCAAUGAAUGAAAGACAAGGCACAUGUAGCCUUUCACAUUGCAAUUUUAUCUAUCUCUCGUUCUCUCUCUCUCUCUCUCUGCUCUUUCUUCUAUGUUGCAGCAAUAACUACUGAUCUAUUGCAGCAACCUUAUGCCUUAAAUACAAAUUACAACAACAUGGUUUUGGUUAAUGGACUCUCCCGCAACUGAGGCUAUAGAAAGACUAGAAGUUUGCAUUCAGUUACUAAGCUUACAUUAAAAAAGGGUUUAUUGAAAUGAAAGCAGGAGUCAGCAUUGCUGUUGAAUUCAUGUACUUGCUUGGUUUUUCUGUCUUUGCUUAGUUGCCAGCAAUCUUCCAAUGGUUUAUAGUAGUUAUUGAGAACACUGUUUAAGAUGCUAUUUUAAUAAAUAUGCUCUGUUUAAUGCUAUGAUUAAUUCUUCUUGAUAUUCUUUUCCCUUCUUUAUAACUUGCUGCAACCAUAUAACACAAACCAUUGCAUAUCCUGGAAGAAAAUUUUGGCCAAUAAAUAAAUAAAUAAAAAGAGAAAUUGCAAAAGGCACCAUUGGUAUAUUUCAUUUGAUGUACUAUAGUCUGCUCUAAUAUCAAUCAUACGCAUAUUUAUAACAGUGACAAUACCAUCCUAAACAAACAGCUCACUAUAUUUUUUCCAAUGAUAUUCAUGCAGUUAUACCAAUACGCGCAUAUUUCAUUAGUGAAUUCUGUUAACAAAAUUUUUUACUUACAUGGUCUGAAUGAAAAAGUAGGAAACAGAGCAGCUCUCUUGGCAAAGUCGGGUUAUUUUUCUAUCGGAUAACAUUUUUUGGUACAUUUUCUAUCUGACAUCAUGACUAUUCUGCACUUUUGACUAAUUAUUUGCCUUUUGAUAGUAACACUUCUUGAAACACAAUUUCCAAUGUUUCAGCAAAGUAGUCAAAAAGAAUGACGUACGGGGUGACAUAUUUAGAAUUGAUGACCUGUUUAGUGGCGUCACCAAGUGACAGACAAUUCAACUCAAAAUCAAGAUUCUGGAUACAGAGCUGCUAAUAUUUUUACUCUGCAAGUAUACUUGGCAGUCUGCUAAAUCUUUUAUUAGUUACUGGUGUUCUAGGAGCUGUACGCUAACAAGAGAAGCGUCGGUUCAGUAACACAAGAACAUAAAGAAGGAACAGAAGAUGGCUGAGGAGCAGCAGAGAAUUCAGAUUCCUAGAGUGAAACUGGGAAAUCAAGGACUUGAGGUUAGAUUUUGUUCUUCUUAGAAUAGUCAAGAAAAGGGUUGUUUAGGAGUUGCAUAUAGAAUGUUUUUGAGGUCAUAACUGAUAAGCCCUGAAUUUUUAUAUUCUUUACAACUGUUCCUUGGUUUUGGGUUGAACUGCUGAUACACAGAAAGUAAGAUACUGGAUUUUUUGAUUCUACUCUGUAAAAAACAUGCUAGAACUCAACUUUUUUAACUCAAUCAGAAUUUAACCAUUUCAAUCAAAUUCACACGAUUUCUUUCCCAGAACAGUAUCUACUGUCUACCUGUCUCAUUUCUGUUGUAAAAUCCACUGUUUCUGUAGGUUUCCAAGUUAGGGUUUGGCUGUGCGGGACUUUCUGGAGCCUACAGUGAUCCUCUCCCUGAUGAUGUUGGUAUAACGAUCAUCAAGCACGCUUUCGAUAGAGGAAUCACUUUCUUCGAUACAUCAGAUUUCUAUGGACCCAAAACUAAUGAAAUACUGGUUGGAAAGGUAACAUGCUUGGUCAAAUUGUCUAGAGUAUUUCCAAGUUGAAUAGCAGCAGCUUCCUGAUUUUGCUUUUAAAUAGGAAUUCAUUGUUCUUGGCUUGUCAAAGGGAUUCAUGAAUCUGUGAAACCAAUACUUUUUCCAGGCAUUGAAGCAGCUACCGCGAGAGAAGGUGCAGUUAGCCACAAAAUUUGGUAUUGCGAAAAUCGAUGCUACUGGUGUCAUAGUAAACGGUACUCCUGAAUAUGUCCGGGCCUCUGUUGAGGCUAGCCUGAAGCGCCUUGAUGUGGAAUACAUUGAUCUCUACUAUCAGCACAGGGUCGACACCUCCACUCCAAUAGAGGAUACUGUAAGAGCUGGAGCAGAAAGCAUCAAAGAUUUAUUUCUUCCAUAGAUUUCCUUAUAUCCAUACUCUCUUAUUAAUUGCGGGGCUAUCAUCUUUAGCUGGUUGAACUUAAAGUUAAGCUAUUUGGAUUUAACUUUCUUUCUUAGAUGGGUGAACUCAAGAAGUUGGUGGAAGAAGGGAAAAUAAAGUACAUUGGUUUAUCUGAAGCUAGCCCCGAAACUAUAAAGAGAGCACAUGCGGUUCAUCCCAUAACUGCUGUACAAAUGGAGUGGUCGCUCUGGACUCGUGACAUUGAGGAAGGAAUAGUCCCCCUUUGCAGGUUUCUUCUUGUAUCUUGAAGCAUUAGAACUAAAAAAACAGUAAAAGUUACUUGAAAUUCAAAGUUCGAACUCAUAACUUGAUAGUCAUUUUCAUUUCCCAAGUUAUACGUUGUUUGAGAACUGGACUUGAGACUCACCCAUGCAAGCCAAAGCAUGAGAAAUGCCUAUUUAAAUGUCCUCAUCUCUGCAGGCAACUCGGAAUUGGGAUUGUUCCAUACAGCCCUCUUGGUCAUGGUUUCUUUGGUGGCAAAGCAGUUGAUGAAAGUGUGCCUGCUGAUAGUUUUAUGGUAUGGGAACUCAUCUAUUAAUGGCUUUAACCUAUCCUUAAUCUUGUAUAAUGACAAGCCUUUCUAACCGGUAGCUUGGUUGACCGAUUGCCAACUUCUACUUUUAAGAGAUUGCUCCCAAGGUUUCAAGGAGAAAACUUUGACAGAAACAAGAUCUUAUAUCUGAAAGUAAAGAAGUUGGCUGAGAAGCAUGGAUGUACCACUGCACAACUUGCACUUGCCUGGGUUCUUCAUCAAGGAGAUGAUGUAGUACCCAUUCCUGGUAAGUCCACAUUCUGUAAUUUUCAACAUCCACUUUUCUCUUCUUGAUAGCCUGCAGAUAUUUCAACUAACAAGACACUUUCUUUCUCAUUUUGUAGGAACAACAAAGACAAAAAAUCUGGAUGGCAACAUUGAUUCACUGAGGGUGAAGCUCACAGAAGAAGAUUUACAAGAGAUUUGUGAUGUGAUCCCCAUGAAUGAGGUAGCAGGCGCUCUUAUGCCAGAUGGUUUAAGUCAUCUCACGUGGAAGUUUGCUAACACACCACCAAAGGAUAGCAAGAUUUCAACUUAAAUUGAACUGAACGAUGGAUGCAAAGUCUGCAGCAGAAUAUGAUGUUUUUGGUGAAUGGACUCUCUCCAUCAACGGAAACUAUUGAAAGACUAGAAGUUUGUGUUGAAAAGUUAGUAAGCUUUGGAUACAAUAAUGAAGGGCUGUAGUUGGCAUUGUAGCUUUGCCGUUGAAUGCUUAUCAGAGAAAGAAUGCAUUUACUUGUAUUGUUUUUCUGUCUGUGCUUUGUUGGUAAUAAUCCGCAAUGCUUAUGGUUGUCAACAGCAAAGGUUAAGAUGCUGUAUAAGAACUAUGUUUUUAUUUAGUGCUCUAAUAAUAUAAUUCAUCUUGGUCUCAUCUUUUUUCUCAUUUUAACUUAGAUAUCUAUACAUUGAGAAGAGAAAACAAUUAAAUUUUAUUGACAUGAUUUCUUUUGUAUAUACAACACAAUUAGGAUAAAAUGAACACUGAUUUUUAUUAUAUACAAUACAAUUGAGAUAAAAUGAACACGACAUUUAUUAUAUACAACACUAUUGAGAUAAAAUGAGCACAACUUUUAUUAUAUACACGUGAUCAAAAAAUCAUGUCAUGACUCAACUUCUUUUAUAUAUAUGGUUCAAUCGAAACUCUUGAUCAACAAAGGACCACAUUAGUAUUUUUAGUAUCUUAGCACGAUGAUGCAUGUUAGUCACAUAACGAACGUCAUAUAAGCAAUAUAUAAUACAUCAAUUUGAUCAAAAUCUCACGUUAAUAUUUUUAAAGAUAAAAUUUAAUAGUGUUAAUAUUAAAAAUUUAAGUUAAUAAAUUGAAAAAGUACAAUAACUUAAUUUACAGAAUUAUUAUUCAAAAUUAAAUUUAUAUUGCAUAAUUUUACAUUUUAGAUUCACCUUUUGUUAAAAUGCCAAGUGACAAGCUCCCAUUGAACAAUAACCUUUUGCCCUUCGGUUAAAAGUUGUUUACCUCUUUCCUUCCCAUCAAUCUCAAGUUUUCAAACCUUCUCCAACUUCCAACACAUUCACAAUCUAAGUAACAGAACAAAAGAAUUUGAAUGAUGAUUUGAUCACUUUGAAUUUUUAUAACUCUUAACUCGAAUUAAUUUCAAUGAUAAACUCAAAAUCAAUUUGAAGUGUUUAUGUUCAACUAUAACAUGAGAAUUUAUUUCGAUAAAAAAGAUUUUGCAAAACUCACAAGUUAUAUAAGUCAAAAUUUUGAAAAAUUAUUAUAAACGUAAUUCGAUUUUUAAAUUUUCAAUAUCAACGAAACAACUUUGAACCUUCGAUUUUCUUAAUAGAAAAAACCUUUAAUUGAAUCAUUAAAACUAAAUUAAAGAACACAUUUCAUAUUAUAAAAAUAUUUAAAAAAACAACUCAAAACAUUAUCGAAAUAUGAAAUUCCAGUAAAUUAAAGUUGAAUAAUCAAAACUGUCAAAAAUAAGUUUUCAAUCAACUUAAUAAAUUCAUCUCUCUACCCAAUUACAAAAACCAUUAAAAAAAAUUUUCCACAACCUUCCUAUUGGUAGCCAUUAUACUGUUGAAAAAUAUUGAAACGGUAUUAAUUUUGAACGAAAAUUAAAAAAAUAUAAAAUAAAGUUAGGAUUUUUAUUAAAAAUUAGGCAAAAUACAAGAAUUUCGUAAUUUAAAACAUAAUGUUAACUUAAAAAGAAGGGAUUUUCUCUCGACUUACACCCUCAAUCUUUCUACUAAUAUUUUCUUUUCAAACGAAAGUCGGUUUUCUCUUUAAAAGAAACUGUCGUAUAAUGGUUGAUUACCUAAUAAUUUUCUAAUAAGCUUUUAAAAUAAAAGAUAUUUUAUUGUAAGUCUAACCCUAAUUCAACAAGGGAAGUAUUUGUCAAAUUUGAAUUUUGUGUAAUACAUUAGUUAAUUUAUCAGUUGCGAGUGCAUUACAGUAAACUAAUAAGAGAAGCCUCAGUUCAAUAACACCAGAGCAUAAAAAAAAAAAGGAAAGAUGGUUGAGGAGCAGCAGAGAAUUCAGAUUCCUAGAAUGAAACUGGGAAAUCAAGGACUUGAUGUUAGACUUUGUUCUUCUUAAGAGUAGUCAGGAGAAGGGUUGUUAUGAGUUGCAUGUAGAAUGUUUAUGAGGUGAUAAGCCCUGAAUUUGUAUUAAUCUUUACCAGUGUUCCUCAGUUUUUGGUUGAACUGCUGAUAUACAGAAUGUAAGAUACAGGAUAUUCUGAUUCUACUCUGUUAAAAACAUGCUAGAACUCAACUUUUUUAACUCAAUCAGAAUUUAACUUCCAAUCAAGUUCACACGAUUUCUUUCCCAGAACAGUAUCUGCUGUCUAAGUCUCUCAUUUCUGUUGUAAAAUCUACUGUUUCUGUAGGUUUCCAAGUUGGGGUUUGGCUGUGCGGGACUUUCUGGAGCCUACAAUGAUCCUCUCCCUGAUGAUGCUGGCAUAUCGAUCAUCAAGCAUGCUUUUGAUAGAGGAAUCACUUUCUUCGAUACAUCAGAUAUCUAUGGGCCCGAAACUAAUGAAAUACUGGUUGGAAAGGUAACAUGCUAGGUCAAAUUGUCGAGAGUAUUUUCGAGUUGAAUAUCAACAGCUUCCUGAUUUUGCUUUUAAAUGGGAAUCCAAACCCUUAAAUAAAUGCAUUUUUGUUUAUCACAUUGAUACCAUUUUAAUUGUUACUGUUCUUGGGUUGUUAAAGAAAUUCAUGAAUCUCUGAAACCAAUAUUCUUUUUUCCAGGCACUGAAGCAGCUACCACGAGAGAAGGUGCAGUUAGCCACAAAAUUUGGUAUUACAAAAAUGGAUACUACUGGUGUCAUGGUAAAUGGUACUCCUGAAUAUGUUCGCGCCUCUGUUGAGGCUAGCAUGAAGCGCCUUGAUGUGGAAUACAUUGAUCUCUACUAUCAGCACAGGGUCGACACCACCACUCCUAUAGAGGAUACUGUAAGAGCUGGAGCAGAAAGCAUCAAAGAUUUAUUUCUUCCAUAG
rnacentral:lncRNA from 1 species